ACCCUGUACCUUUGCUCCUAAGCAUGAAGAUGGGCUUCUGACCAUGUCCUGCUAGAGGACACUGAAAGGGUAAGCCUUGGGCUUUAACCAGGCAAUGGAAAAUUUAAAUUGGUCUCCAGAGAAGAGACAUUGAGACUGAUACUUCCAGCACUGAGGAUCUACCUCUAGAAGUCUAGCUCAGAACUUGGCCUCCGGCCUGGGCACUGCCUCAUACCUGCCAGAAUUGAUCUCAAUGGAGCUGCACAAUGAGAGGUUUUGCAUGUUGUCUAGAGGACUUUGGUUGAGUUCAGAGCUGAGCACACUUGCCUUCAGACUCUCCUGGGACUCCCAGUUCUCAUCCAUAUGAGCAAGCGCUUCAUAUUACUGGCCGUGGCCCUGUGCUGAGUCCUCCUCCCGCCCAUGGCCCUCUCCUCCUGGCCUGUGGUCCUCCGCCUGAACAUGGCCGACUUUGUCUUCAGUUUCCUCUGCCUCGGCAUUGGGCUCCUGAUUUCUCUUCAGCCUGACGCUCUUUUCAGUUAACUGCAAGGCGGUGCACCCAAGUCCGAUGGUGUCCUACCUGGUGACCUCCUACCUGUGCUGGGACGCCAGCGACUUGAGGCUGCACUCCGGGCGCAGCGAGGCGGACAUCCAAACAGCGGAACUCAGACACUGACUCCGAGCACACCCCGGGCCUUCCCAUUUCAUACACCCUCGAGGAUGAGACCCAAGCACCUCCAAGGAAUAGCACCCGAGGUCUUCAGGACACCGACCGGUAGCCAUGGCCAGAUGCCCGGCCAACCCCUUCAGCGUGGUCACGCCCCGGAUAUUCGACCUCCCCUGAGGCCCCACCCCCUGAUAUCAGGCCACGCCCUCCGAGGGGACCGGUGGCAAACUCCAACCCUCGCUCUAGGGCCCGCCCUUUGCGGCUUUAUCCCUGCCCACUGGGUCCUCACAGUACCUCCACCCCAGAAGUCCAGCAUCCCCUCCCGUUCUGCAGACACUUGUCCAGCGUCCCGCUGAGCUUGGCAGUGUGGCUAGUUUGUGUGGCCCUGCCCCUGGUGCCCAGCCUUCGCAGGCCACACCCUGAAGCCACUCUCCACCCCCUCAGCC
rnacentral:lncRNA from 1 species